AGUGAACGCUGGCGGUAUGCCUAACACAUGCAAGUCGAACGAAAGGAUAAGAAGAGUUCGCUCUUACGGGUGGCGAGUGGCGGACGGGUAAGGAAUACAUAGGAAUCCAAUAUUUCGGGGGGGAUUACGGAGGGAAACUGAUGCUAAUACCUCAUACGAUCUACGGGUGAAAGCAGGAGUUAUUCGGGCUUUGCGCGACUGUAUGAGCCGAUGUCGGAUUAGCUAGUUGGGAGGGUAAGGGCCCACCAAGGCAACGAUCCGUAGCUGGGCUGAGAGGAUGAUCAGCCACACUGGAACUGAGACACGGUCCAGACUCCUACGGGAGGCAGCAGUGGGGAAUCUUGGGCAAUGGGCGCAAGCCUGAUCCAGCCAUGCCGCGUGGGUGAAGAAGGCCUUCGGGUUGUAAAACUCUGUUAUUGGGAAAGAACAGCUGCAUGUGUAACCACCGCUGUUUUGACGGUACCUAAACAGUAAGCACCGGCUAACUUCGUG
rnacentral:rRNA from 1 species